rnacentral:tRNA from 1 species
GCCUGGGUGGCUCAGUCGGUUGAGCGUCUGACUUAGGGCUCAGGUCAUGAUCUCACGGCCUGUGGGUUCGAGCCCCGCGUCGGGCU